CCUUCAAAGUGUACCUUAUUCUGCAUGCAGCAUCAAAGUUUGUAAUAAAUAACUCCCAUCUAUAAUAGCCAUAAAAUUAGUUAUUAUAGAAUAUGUUGAAAUUCAAAGGAAUCCAGUCCCCAUCUAAGUAACUUAUAUAAUACCUCCCAAACCACUUUGUUUAGAUCUUAAAACUUUAAAUGUGAGGUUUAGAGUUUUUGGCAGCAUCUGACCUUUAUAGUGGUUCAAAUACUCAGUAAGCGAAGGCAACAUUUGUCUGAAUUUACAAAUGUGUAUAUAAAGAUGACAUCAAUGUAUUUUUUUUUUUAUAUACAUUUUAUGAAUAACUUCAUGUUAAACGGAUCCUUCUGGAAGAUUCAGUAUAAUGAACUUUCUGUAUUCAGGAGUGUGAAGGGAGAAAGCUUUUUCUUUAUCUGAGAACUUCCAGCCACAGCUGAAGGAAGGCAGAGAGUACUUGCAGCUUUCUGUCUAUUUUUAGUUCCCCAACUUAGAAAAGGCAGUUUUGGUGGGGCUUUCUUGGUCUGAUCAAUCUUAUCUUCUUCCAUGGCUAAACAGAUUAGGGAGUAAGUCUUCUGCAUUCCCACAGAGUAAGUUGCACUCUUACUAUGCUGCAAAAAGAAAAAAUACAUACAUACGUACAUACAUACAUAUAUAUAUAUCAGUUACCUAAAAGGGAUCAAAAAUGCAACAACAGAAAGCAAAAGAAGAUUAUUAUAUGAGUAACUUUCCAGACAGACUACAGAAAACUUUUUGUGCUAGUUACACACUAAUUGAACACAAGGCCCUUCAGAGUACUGAGAUUUUGGUAUUUUGCCCAUGCAGAAUUAAGGGAUAUGAUAGGCAAACUGUAAAGGUAUUUGUGAAUUUAGACAUGUUGUUCCAGCUAGCUGUUCUAGAAGCUAGUCAGUGCUGUCAAGUAUACACAAUAACUUCUGCAAAGCUCAAGUAUGCAGACCUUGCCUGAAGGGGAGUCUUUGUUGUCUUCAGUGUCCAGAAAGUGUUUUGUUGAAUGCCCAGCAAGCAGGUUUCAUGUUAGUUGCAACGAUUACAAGAGCUACUGUAGGGCGUUCUGCAGGGAUACUUGGAAGGCAGGGCUUUCUCUGUCUUGUCUAAGCUAUGCACUGAAGCAAUUUGUUUAUAUUCUAACCUUUUGUGCCCAGAAAGGGCCUUUUGUGUCAGAAGGGUAGGAAUGCAAUUCCUGGUUUUCAGUAAUGCAAAUUAAUUUUUUUUUUUUUUAAGUCAGUAAGAGCCACGAUCACUUCUAAGGUGACACUGUUUAAGUGUAAGCUUGCAGGGUAUGCUAGAACCAUGAAGUACUGGAUUUAGCUGAACUACAGGUUCUCUCACACUACAGAUAAGUUUAAAUUAUGUAGAGUUUAACAUUUUUUAAUCUUUUGCUCACUUUUCCCUUAGACUAAAGCAGCUUAGUACAAUAAAGAGUCCAGCAAAAUAAUAAAUGUUACAUUAAUCUCUGAAUGCAGACUGCAAAAGUCAAGGAUGAUUAUGUUAAUGGUGAAUAGAAGAUGAGCACAUAGUCUUGGAUGCUGAUUAUUGUUUCAUUGCGACUUUUUCUAGGCUAAAAGGACUAAUGUUUUCACCCUCUGGGACAAGUUAGGGGAAAAUAAGAACAAACUGGAUCAAGACAGUAAGUCUGUACUGGCGAGCCUCCUUUAAGACUGAAUCCUAGCUCCCCUGCUUCACAGCGGAAGCGAAUGGCACACGGCGCUGUCCACCUCUGCUUGGCUGAGAACACGGACAGCGGGCCCUGUGGGUUACAUAGCAGCAGGCACAUGAUGGUUUAUUCUCAUUUAUGUUGCUAAGUACAUUGAGUGUCCCAAUGAAAGUUCGGUUCCAUCCUG